GGUGAUAUAGCUCAGUUGGUAGGGUACUUGCCUACCAUGCAUGUGGCCCUGGGUUCAAUCUCCAGCACUU
rfam:Cricetulus griseus cell line CHO-K1, whole genome shotgun sequence.